rnacentral:rRNA from 1 species
AGUGGAUGGGGAGCAACCUAUGUUGUGCGUGUGUAAAGGUAGUGCCAAGAAAAGCGAUGAUCAUGUUGAAAAUCAAUUCCCGGUACCCGAAACCGACACAGGUGGGCAAGUAGAGAAUACUAAGGGGCGCGAGGUAACUCUCUCCAAGGAACUCGGCAAAAUGACCCCGUAACUUAGGGAGAAGGGGUGCCACCGAGAGGUGGUCGCAGUGAAGAGGCCCAGGCGACUGUUUAGCAAAAACAUAGGUCUCUGCAAACUCGAAAGAGGAGGUAUAGGGGCUGACGCCUGCCCAGUGCCGGAAGGUUAAAGAAGUUGGUCAGUUUUAGGAUGAAGCUAGCGACUGAAGCCCCGGUGAACGGCGGCCGUAACUAUAACGGUCCUAAGGUAGCGAAAUUCCUUGUCGGGUAAGUUCCGACCCGCACGAAAGGCGUAACGAUCUGGGCGCUGUCUCGGAGAGAGGCUCGGCGAAAUAGAUUGUCUGUGAAGAUACGGACUACCUGCAUUUGGACAGAAAGACCCUAUGAAGCUUUACUACAGCUUGGAAUUGUGUUCGGGCUUCCUGUGCGCAGGAUAGGUGGGAGGCGUAGAAGGUAUUCUUGUGGGGAUACUGGAGCCAACGGUGAGAUACCACUCUCAGGAGGCUAGAAUUCUAACUUAAUUAAGGACAGUUUCAGGUGGGUAGUUUGACUGGGGCGGUCGCCUCCAAAAAGGUAACGGAGGCGUACAAAGGUUCCCUCAGACUGGUUGGAAAUCAGUCGAAGAGUGCAAAGGCAGAAGGGAGCUUGACUGCGAGAAGUACAGUUCGAGCAGGGUGGAAACACGGUCUUAGUGAUCCGACGGUGCUGUGUGGAAGGGCCGUCGCUCAACGGAUAAAAGUUACUCUAAGGAUAACAGGCUGAUCUCCCCCAAGAGUUCACAUCGACGGGGAGGUUUGGCACCUCGAUGUCGGCUCAUCGCAACCUGGGGCGGAAGUACGUCCCAAGGGUUGGGCUGUUCGCCCAUUAAAGCGGUACGUGAGCUGGGUUCAGAACGUCGUGAGACAGUUCGGUCCAUAUCCGAUGUAGGCGUGAGAAUAUUGAGAGGAGCCUUCCUUAGUACGAGAGGACCGGGAAGGACGCACCGCUGGUGUACCUGUUAUGAUGCCAAUUGUAAACGCAGGGUAGCCAAGUGCGGAGAGGAUAACCGCUGAAAGCAUCUAAGUGGGAAGCCCACCUCAAGAUGAGUAUUCUGGUGUAAGGUCACGGGAAGACGACCCGUAAAUAGGCACGAGGUGGAAGUGCAGAGAUGUAUGAAGCCGAAGUGUACUAAUAGACCGUCGGCUU